rnacentral:rRNA from 1 species
UACAGAGGGCCCAAGCGUUGUUCGGAUUUACUGGGCGUAAAGGGCGCGUAGGCGGCCCGGUAAGUUUGAUGUGAAAGCUCGGAGCUUAACUCCGAAAUGGCAUUGAAUACUAUCUGGCUUGAGGGUCGGAGGGGAGACUGGAAUUCUCGGUGUAGCAGUGAAAUGCGUAGAUAUCGAGAGGAACACCAGUGGCGAAGGCGAGUCUCUGGACGACACCUGACACUGAGGCACGAAAGCUAGGUGAGCAAACAGG